rnacentral:rRNA from 1 species
GAUAAACGCUGGCGGCGUGCCUAAUGCAUGCAAGUCGAACGGGCGUCCUUUGGGACGUGACCGUGGCGGACGGGUGAGGAGCACGUAGCUGACCUGCCCUGGUGUGGGGGAUAUCCUCGGGAAACCGAGUGUAAUACCGCAUGAGCUUCAUUGGAGGGAUCUGAUGAAGGAAAGAAGCAAUUCGCACCAGGAGGGGGCUGCGUCCGAUUAGCUAGUUGGUGGGGUAACGGCUUACCAAGGCGAUGAUCGGUAGCUGGUCUGAGAGGACGAUCAGCCACACGGGGACUGAGACACGGCCCCGACUCCUACGGGAGGCAGCAGCAAGGAAUUUUCCACAAUGGGCGCAAGCCUGAUGGAGCAACGCCGCGUGGGGGAUGACGCACUUCAGUGUGUAAACCCCUUUUCGAGGGGACGAAGGCAAUGACGGUACCCUCGGAAUAAGGAUCGGCUAACUACGUG